rnacentral:sRNA from 2 species
ACCAUCUCCGGCUGUAACCAAUGACGUCAUUCCCGUCUCCCGUUACAGACCCUUCUCCGCCGUUUCUCCGCCCUUACAAACGGUCUUCCGCUCUCCGCUCUCCGCCCACUGCUUCUUCCGCUGAAGUUGCUGCCCACUAAGAAACCGGUCCCGGCCUCCGGACCGUAUUUCAAUACCUAUGGUUUCCCCUGCUAAGUCUCCCUGGGAUAGCUGCUGCCCUAUUGUUCUCGGCAAGUUGAUAUAAGGGCCGCGCAUUGGAUAUACGUACUGCACACCAUACUCCAUGGGCAUCGAGCAUGACCUUUGUUUCUAGUAGAUAGAAGUUCCAGGCUUAUGCUCAUAUCAUCUAUGUAUAUAUAUAAAUAUAUAAUAUAAUAUAAUAUAAAACCA